rnacentral:antisense_RNA from 1 species
CUUCAACGAGCCGAGAUACAGCGGCAGUUCGCGGCCCUGCCCGUAGGUGGCCAGUAGCGCCUGCGCCUC